rnacentral:pre_miRNA from 1 species
GGGGAGAAGGGGAGGUCCCUCAGCCCAGAUUGUGAGAGGGUGCAGGCCAGGCCAAGGGACCCUACCGGUGCACG